GGUGAACGGGAGUCGCGGGCUGGUGACGUUUCCAGAGGGCGGCUGUCUGGUGCCGGGGCGCAGGGCGAUGACGUAGCCGGGGGCGGCUCAGCGGCGGGGAUGGAGGAGAAGGAGCAACUGCGGCGUCAGAUCCGCCUGCUGCAGGGUCUCAUAAAUGACCAUAAAAACAUCCAUGGAAAUGCACCAGUGCCCCCGCCCUCCAGGACUCCAAGGUGGAGGAAUCCCAGGCAGACUGCCUUCAAUAGUCAGGGAGCAUUCUCCGCAAGAUAUUCUCAGCAAGCUCCAAGGGAUUUCCAAUCACCUCAAGGUAACUCCUGGAGGAAAAAAUACUCCCUUGUAAACAGACCGCCUGCAGCAACACAUCAUCCUGGAAGCAGUGCAUCUGCUAACGCACUUCAGGCUUUUGUGAGCCAAAGGAAUAGCCAGCCUCCUGGGCCACAGGGAACAGGCCCGGAAAGGCAAGUGGGCUUAGCAACAGGUGGUAUAGUCAUAGGAGUCAAAGUGCCACAGAGGACUAGCUCAGCCUUGGACAAUAGAAACGUUAGUGAGUUGGGAUCCCAGCAGAGUUCCUCUGGGAUGAAAGCAGCCAUAGCUGCUCCAAAAGGAAAUGAAAAGGUUCAUGAAAGUUCUAGUUUUCAAAGUGUUGCUCAAAAAGAGGACAAAGAAACUUCUCUCUCUGUCUCCCAGAGUUCAUUGCACCAGCCUGCUGUUGCUGGAGGCAGAGAUGACGCAAGCCCAGCAUAUGUGAAGGAACUGGGCAAACUUCGGACUGCGAAACUGGCUAAAAGUGCCCCUGAGUUACGUGACGUUAUCAGUGAAAGUGCCAUAGCAUUAAAAUCCAAGCCUCAACAGCCUUCAGCUCUUCCUGAUCGAGAAUCAGGCUGGCUGGUAGCCUGGAAGAAGCCAGUAGCACACGUUCCAGCUCACUGUAGUUCAGAGCAAGUCACGGCAGGAAGAGAUACUUUGAAGGAGCCAAAGACCCUUGGAAAAUCUGAGGCACACACAAGCUCACUUCAGUCUGUGACUUCAGAGGUUGGGAUAAACCCAGUGAAGAACCAGUUUGCAAUACCACACAAGCUACCCAGUUUCCAAAGAGCUGCCUCAACGCCAGUCUCCAGUAAAGCUUCUAAGUUCAGGAAAACCAACUAUACGUGGGUAGCAAAUCCUAGUAAAUGCCCUCGUGCUGUAAAGAGAUGGACCAGCCCUAGAGCUUCUGAAAGCACUAGGAAGCUUUCUGUGGGAGCAGAGAGAACUGUUAAGCCACUGCCAAAGGGGGACUUGGGAGCAAAGCAGAAGAAAUCCGGAGUGCAUUUGAAGCUGGAUGCCUCUCCUAGUAAAUACAAAUGGAAAGCAUCCAGCCUACAGCCACCUUCUUCAGCUUCCAAGUCAGUGUUCAGGUGGCAGUCUGAGGGACGAAAGGAGGCUGGAGUCUCCCAGGUUUCCAGAGCCAACCUUGGCCUUCAGACUCUAAGCAACGCAUCCAACGGUCAUGGUGGGUUGAAGUCCUCUUUCAAUGAUGCUGCACUUUCCACUUAUAAAGUGAAGAGCCGGACCAAAAUCAUCAGGAGAAAGGGGAGUUGCUGUUCCCCAACGGAUAAGAAGAGCAGCUCCUUCCCCACAAUGCCCCCGAAAAGCCACUACUCUCUCAGGAAAAGAAACUCCCUGCGGGGAAGACCUGCACCACUGAAGAGAACCCUGCCCAAGGAGCUGGUGCAGAUCACCAAGCACCGGCUAUGCCGACUGCCAGCCUCGAGAAUGCACAUCCCAGCCAAAGAAGGGUCCAGCUGGCAUCUUGUAAGGAGCCCUGUGGCUAAUAAAGUAGUACAGACUCGCUAUAGGAUAGUGAAGAAGAAUGUGGCUUCACCUUCAAGUUCGUCGUCAUCCUUCAGCAUUCCUGUUCCCAGCUGGAAGACAAGGCGACUUGUGACAUCCAGAUCUCUGGUAUUAAACCCAAUGCGCCAGUCACCCCUAGGCGGCAAAUCCCAGCAGCUGCAGCCGAGAUGGAGGAACAAAGGCUUUUGCUGUAUAGGAGGCGUGAUGUACAGGGUGUCAGCCAAUAAGCUCUCCAAAACCUCCAGCUCCCCAGUCAGGGGUGGCGACCUGAAUCACAAGCUCCACGGUAGAACAGCACGGUUGGAUUGUACAGCCAGCAGCCUCGGUUAUUCUCCUCCCAGCUGUCUGCACAGAUCAGCUACGAGCCGAUACAUUGCAAGCCGAGCUGUUCAGCGGAGUUUAGCCAUCAUUCGUCAGGCCAAGCAGAAGAAAGUGAAGAAGGAGUAUUGUAUGUACUACAACCGCUUUGGCAAAUGUAACCGUGGGGAGAGCUGUCCCUACAUCCAUGAUCCGGAAAAAGUAGCUGUCUGCACCAGAUUUCUCCGUGGCACAUGCAAGAAGACUGAUGGGACAUGUUCAUUUUCACACAAAGUUUCUAAAGAUAAGAUGCCAGUGUGCUUAUACUUCCUGAAAGGAAUCUGCAACAACAGCGACUGCCCCUACAGCCACGUCUACGUGUCCAGGAAAGCUGAAGUGUGCCAGGAUUUCCUCAAAGGCUACUGCCCCCUGGGCGAAAAGUGCAAGAAGAAACACACACUGGUGUGCCCAGACUUUUCCAAAUCCGGCAUCUGUCCAAAGGGCGCCCAGUGCAAACUCCAGCAUCCCCAGAGAAAGCAUCACCUCAGACAGCCCAGUACUGCAGGUGACUCCAACCAGGGCAGGUCAUCACCGAAGUGGAAGAGGCUGGGAGAGGAGGCAGUGAGGAGGGAUGCCGCCCACCUCCAGGAUGAUGGGGAGAUUCCUGGACCCUCCAGCGCAGAGCAGGGGGUAAAGUUUUGGAGUGACACAGACACCCCAGCAUGCAGCAGACUUCAGAAGCUCCCGUCUUUCAUCUCUCUCCAGUCACCUACCUCUCCAAGCGAGGUGGCAUGCACAGCUGACAGAGACAAGACAGGGGAGGAUACAGAGCCUGAGACCCUGAGUUACGGACCAGGACCGUGCAGGCACUGAACAAACCCAGAACACAGGUGGUCUGUGCCCUCAAGAGCCCGUCUCUGAUGAGGAGACACUGGAUAAAUGCGUCCGAUUGUGAGGGAAGCCGCUGCAGAUCAAGCCCAGGCUGUGAGGUCAGCUCCCUGGAUUCAGCAUCUCUCCCGCCCGCCUCAUGCACUGGUCCAUUCAACAGUCCAGCAGCCGAACGCCUCAGGAAACACAGCGGCCAGGCCGGGCCCGGCACCUACCUCAGGACAGCAAGACGGGAAGAGGCCUCCUCCUGAUUUGUGUUCCGUUUCGAUACGUUCAUUUGGCCUGGAAUCUGGUAACAGUAAAUUACUCAGGUUCUCCCAGCCCCGUCGUGCAGAGAGGCAGCUUUGUAAGCGUUUUAAUUUUGGAAUAAAUGAUCUUUUAAUCUGGUUUAUUUAAAACAAACCCCUUCCGAAGCCCCUGUUUAACUUCAGCUUCCCCGGUCGUUCUUGAGUUAGCAAGAAUGAACUGUUGUGAUCAGAUUAGGCUAAACGGGGCCCAUUGAUCAGACCUGCAGCCCUUUGCACCCGGGUUCUUGGUGCCAUCUUUGGAGUUUUGCAGUUGCAGUAAUUCUCCUCACAGAGAUUUGAGGAAGGGACAGGAGUUAAAGAAACCUAACUCUGUUUCUCUUCAGUGCCGGGAAGCCGCAUUGCCCAGUUGGGUAUAUUUCAACAGCACUGUCUGUGAGUGGGAAAUUAUACCGCAUGAUGAGAGGCUGGAGAACCUCAGCCAGCCAAGAAGUGCAGCAAUUGCCUAGAAAUGAGGAUGUGAGCUUCUUACAAGCAUCAGGAUAGGAAUUUGUUUUGGGGGUGAGUGGUGUGCAAGGGGGCUGUGGCUUUCGGUAGCCAGGUGCUUAAGGGAAAUGCGUGACCCAAACAGAACAGCCACAUGAGGUGAGCUCUGAAGCCAUUUCAGAGAAACAGUUAUGCCCUUGUGCCAGGAAAUUGUGGGGGGGGGGGGGGGGAGCGGGGAAGGAAGCAUUUCUGAAUUGAAAAACAAGCUCCCUAAUAUCUAAUGCACGCAGAGGGAUCUGUUUGCUAGUGAUUUGUCUGCAGCUGAGGGGGCUAAGAAGAUCCUGUGAUCCCGCAGUGUGCGGUGGGGCUUUGCAGGGUGAUCAUCUUCCCCUCCGAGAGGAGAGGAGACCACAAGGAGCUGCGGUGAGACCGAGGACAGAAGGUGAAGUCUGUAGUCAGCGCAGUGGGUUCCAUGCUGAGCACUGCCUUGUGAUCCCGCUGCUUUUCCCGUCUGUAUCUGGUUCAUGCAAAGAGCCGAGGAAAGCAGUCUGGUUCAGUAUUCCAGGGAAAACCACUAGGCUUGUAAAAGCCAAGGAUGACAGAGUCGGGAAAGAGAGAGGAGCCGAGGACUCCGAAUUAGACCUUUGUUAAUGGUGAUUUCUCCACUGUGGUGAUAGCAGGGUGCAAGGAGACAGGUCUAUAUGGAAUGUCGGCUCCCACCUAGGUUUUAGUGCCCUUCUCAGCGUGAGCUGAAUUCCAGCUCGUUCAGUUCAGGGCCAGGGAAAAUCACCUGUUUGCUUGGUUUAGAAGCCAGCAUUCUCUAAUGAUCUGACAGGUUCAUAUCAUGAUUGUUUAGUGCAUCAGAGACACUGUCUGCUUAGUUCCCAAAUGUACAUGCCAAAUGCCCACCUGGAUCAAUCCACCUCCACCCCCGAGAGGAGCUUGUAAUAUUCACAACUCCUGGAUUUCCUUAUUUUUAACUGGUGUGUUUAUUGUGGGUCAGACUCUACUGAAAUGGAGCCCCAGUGAUGAUAUAAACACAACAAGCAUUUGGUUUAAAUCUAGAGCUGACCCAAACCAAACCCCCAGAGCCGAACACCUUUGCACCAGCUCUGCCUUUUACAUACGGCUCCUAUUCUGAUAUUGGCCCGAACCGGGACCCCUGGAUCCAGAUACCCCAAACUUGGGAACAUUCCAAACCCAGAGCGUGAUCUGGGUCUGACUUUCCCUCUCUUUACGCCCAGCUUUGGAGCAUUCAGAAUCAGGAUCCAGACUUAGCAGCCUCCACCCGUCUCUAGUUAAAACCAGACACAUUUGCUAAACCAGUUCGCAACUUCUCAGCAUGUGGGAACUAAAUCGCUUGACGCUGACACAUUUUAUGUCACGUAUCCCUCUCGCCCCCAAGGAGAUGCCCUGGAGCUGGGAUAAGGGCACGGUUAUCACAUGUCGAUGCCUUUCUCUCUCACGAGGUCUGAUCAGCCAAAGUUGCUCCAGCAGCACCCUCCUGGAGGGUGUUAGUUACUCACCACAGUAGCAUCUCUCGGUCACUUUGCAUAUCAAGUCAGCUGCUGCAGAGUUUGAUUGAAAUUUUUGCGGUGAGCGGUGAAAUUUCCCCCCUUCUGUGAAUCUGCCUGGCUCAUCUCCUCCCUUCACCACAGAGCAACAAGCUAAUAAAAGAUUGAUUGUAACUAUAAUUGCAAUCUGCCGAGGUCGGCAUUUCCUCCCCGGCUCCUCGCUGCACUGAGGGACGGAGGGAGCAUGAGGGGGGUCGUUAGCAAACACCCAGUUGAUUGGGCUGUUUUUAUUUCCCCCACUCCGUUUCUUUAUCUCUGUGAUUUAGCAUCCUGUCGCUGCGUGUUCCCACUGAGCUGAGGAGUGCUGGCCGGGCAACUUCCCGAGGGCGCUGCACGUGGAGAACUGCAGGGGAAGGUUUUCUCUUUUUUUGUCUCCAUCAUUUUAAACUUUAGGGGGUGGAGGUGAUUUUUAAUGGGUGUCACUAAGUUUCCAAGGAUAGCUCCAGACAUUCCCAUCAGAUCCAGCUUGCAAAAAGCACGGAGAACCCCAAAAGGAAUCCCGGUGACAUAAACGUACUCUGCAGUGAAGCCAAGGAGGUCCAUACAGGACACGUCACAUCAUGGGAGCGCUAGGACCUCAAGAUCGAAAGCAUCUACAGCAGCCAGGGAGAUCCCCAGUAAGACAUCAGAUGCAGGGAAUGGUCUGUGAGAACGUUGCUUCGGUGAGGUUCCCUGGAGUUAGGUCAGAGGAUAGUCUAAGCAUUUGGUUAUAGUGAACCUUAGGGCCGGAUUUGUCUCUUGGUCACUCCUAUGCAAGACAAUGGGGACUGAAUGGGAAUAUCUGAAGGCAAACUUUGGCCAUCAUUGUUGCUCGGGAGAUAGAGGCUGGAGAAGUAAAUAUUAUCAAGGUUAAUUCACCUUAUGGCCAGGAACCAGCCUCAGUUUCCCCACUAGACCUUCCUGAUGUGGGGAGAUACAGAGGGUCCAGGGCAAAGAAAAAUCUUGAACUGAGAGGUCCCAGGAAAGCACCACGAGGCCCUGUCUCCUUCCAAACUCCUCCCUCUUCUAGUAGCAUGGCAUAGUUACUAGCCUGGUAUCAUUAAAUGGAAGUCUGGGGCAGGUGGUGAUGAUGGUUUCGCAUCACGUAGCUGGUUCGGUUCUCAUUCCUCAGACGGGCAGCAGCCGGUGACACACGCAAUGGGAGGUUAGCGAAAUCUUUCACCCUUGCGCCUGCCUAAAGCCUAUGGACUGCUGUGUGUCAGUAAAAUACAGAUGCGCAUAAGUGCCGGCCGAGUGCUGCCUAACUUACCGCAUAUCCAGGGAGCAAACUGGGCUGCCCCGGCAUUGCCAGCAUGCCCCCCGUCGAAGCCCCUGGAUUGCGAGGUCUGCGUGUUUCUCAGCGAAAGGGAAGAAAUCCGAGGUAGCGUGUGAACUCUGAAAUCCAAUAGCCAGGCACUUUUUAUUUUCAAGGUCUUUUGGCAACAUAUUUCCCUGGGGGAGCCGAGCUCUCAGGUGCAGCAUCUUCAGGUUCACAGUGACGGGAGAAGGGCCUGUAAUGUAUUCUCUUGGGGACAGGCAGCCGCCAGAUGCAUCGCCCGCAGGUUUGCAGUGGUUGCAGAGGGGUCUGUAAUGUCUAUGUGUCUUGCCACUAAGGUUUCAACUGCUUUUUACCCCAUUUUCUUGCAGGGGCGACAGAGAUGCUAGGAGGCCGAGUGAAACUGAGGGCACGUAGUAAGUCAGUAGCUGGUUGAGGUUAGAUCCAGGGAAGUUUCUUGCCUUGAUGUAUAUUUUAUAGCCAAGCUGUUGUGUGUUCUCUACCGUAGAGAUUUCCUUGGCUCUCCUCGUGUUACAGGCCCCUGCCUGGACUCUGCUCUGUGGUGUUCUCCUUCCUUGACUUUAUCAGGUAGAGAUCAUGGCUGUCCUGGUCUGCCCAUGCCUGUCUGUGUUACAGCCACGCCACACGUUACCCGUGAGUCAGCGUCGCUGAGACGUGUGUCUAGAAAGGUUUGACCCUGCUGGUGCACCGUCGAGGCUGAGUGAACACCCAGGGCCCCUGGCUAUCUCAUCCAUUCAUUUGCUCUGCUCCAGGGUAGGAUGAUGUACAUUUAACGAUGCUCUUUAGGGACAAUGGGCUUGAUCCUGCCGGGUUCUGAGCAUCCUCGACUCCUGGUGAUGGCUUUCACAUGUGGUGCUCCCCACCUUCCGCACCAGACCCAUGUUCUGCUCUAGCUCCCUGCCCUCAUCCACGGCAGUGGGAAUUGUGGGCCUGUUAGAUUCCUUGGGGAUGAAUUCAGUUCAGGUGUUGGGGUGGGGACUGGCUUGGGAUGGAGUUGCUAUGCUGUAACCGUAUCGUUCUGAUUUGGUGCUUGAUGUUAACGUCACUGUAUUUACUGCCGGGGCAGGACUGAGAUUCCUGGAGGGGGGAAGUGAAAUAUGCAGAGGCUUGGAAAACUGUAGUAGCCCAGAGAGCUUCUGACUUUUCCAAGUACCAGCUGCCACUCUGAAACUUCCAGGAAGAAGCGUCUCUUUAAGGGGGCUGAGGCUGGUUGUUUAUAGGGUGUGAGUUACAUCGCAGGAUUUGUUCCAGGAGGGACUGACAGAUAGUGUGUCGCUCAACUGCCCAGCGUAUCAGCUCUCGGGUUAUGUACAUUCACUGGCACAAAGUACAACCAAAGCUGCCAUGUAACUAAUUUCCAAACCUGAACGUUUUGGCACAUAUCGCUGCUAGCUUUGUGGGCUCGCUCUGUGCUCUGUAGCGGCAGGGAAGGGAGCAUGGUCCAGUGGUUAGGGCAGGUGACUGGGAGUCCAGAGACCUGGGUUCUAUUCCCACUUCCAACUUGGGCACGUGACCCCUCAGUUGCCUCAUUGUGGUGUUACACACCUUUGUGAAUUGCUAAGGAGCGCCAAGGUUGGGGGGAGGGCUGGUCCGGAAGAUCUUUAGCAAACAGGGGAGAGCUGGCGGAUUUCAGAGGGGCGAAGGCACCUUAAAAAGGCUAAAUUACAGCCAAACUUACUUUGAGGCUGCCCGCUCUCCCCUUCCACCCAGUCUGGUUGUGGGGAGGGGGAGGGCUGCUCCCCGGGGCGUGGGUAAACGAAUGGGAGCGAACCUCAGAUGUAAGCUCUGAAGGCCGCAGUCAACUCCCUGCCACAGCUCCUCGGCACAGCUCAACGUGUUGACGCCAGCUGGGGAUCCAGUGUUAAUUUUGCUCUUAGUGUGUUUUAAGCAGCCCAGCCUUAUCGUACUGCCUUGUUUCAAGGGAGUGGAGGAAGUUAGGCCAGGCCCCUACUAGAGAAGCAAUUACGUCUAACUGAACUAGCAGGCAUGGGAACGUAGUGCCACUCAGUGGGAAGGGUUUGCCCUCGAUGUCAAUAUGCUGUCCUACCCGCUUGCAAAAUCAAGAGGACAGGACCCACAGCACUGACUUGGGCAGCAUAGGGUUUAAGGCAGUAGGAACAGGCUUCUGAAGCCUGAGAAUCGGUGUCCAUCCCCACUGGGGUGACGUUCCUUGGAAGAGCCAUGAAACGGAGUCUGUUCAAAACUACCUUUCACUUUGUGGUCUCUAUGCUUCGUUUGCUGUGAAACUCUUAGCUGUGUUUUAAAGGAAGCUAUUUUGAAUAAAGAAUUCCGUAGUCACUGUUGAUACUAAAUGGCUUUUGUUAAUUGAUGCUUUUUGAUAUUUAAAUAAAAGUGAAUGAAUAGUUUGUGCAACAAA